GAGCGGUGAGAUGGCUGGUCUUAAUGGAAGCGUAAACUUCUGCAAUACGCUGGAAACUUCUGCUCCUUUGUUUUCCCUGUGAGGGGUGAUGAUGAACAUUAUGCAUGAGGAAGAACUGUAAAUGAUCUGUAACUGAAUCCUCACAAUCAAGAGCCCUGCUCAUCCAGCUGCAAAUUCAGCAGCCAUUCCCAGCGCCAGAGGGACCGAUAACAGAGAGACUACUCCCAGGAGAGACUUUCUGAAUUUGUCAUCUCUUCAGAGCGGUGAAAGAGUUUUGUCAUCUGAUGUUCAUUUUUUG